rnacentral:lncRNA from 1 species
GUGACGGUGAGCAACCGCCAGCGGAAGCUCUUCACCAACAUCGAGAGCAGCCACUGGGACUUCGGCUUCAAGCGGUCGCCGUGGAGCCACGUCCCCUUCGAGCACCCGUCGACCUUCGACACCCUCGCCAUGCCCCCGGCUAAGAAGAGCGACAUCAUCGACGACCUCAUCGCCUUCUGCAACGGAAAGGACUACUACGCCAAGAUCGGCAAGGCGUGGAAGCGCGGGUACCUGCUGUACGGGCCCCCCGGGACCGGCAAGUCGACGAUGAUCGCCGCCAUGGCCAACUUCCUCGACUACGACAUCUACGACCUCGAGCUGACCGCCGUGAAGUCCAACACCGAGCUGCGCAAGCUCUUCAUCGAGACGACCGGCAAGUCGAUCAUCGUCAUCGAGGACAUCGACUGCUCGCUCGACCUGACCGGCGACCGGAAGGUGAAGAAGAAGAAAAGCGCGGACGACAAAGAAACUGAAGACAAGAAAAACGCGCAGCCGCCGCUGCCGCCGGGGAUGGAAGAUAGGGAGAAGAACAAGGUGACGCUGUCGGGGCUGCUGAACUUCAUCGACGGGCUGUGGUCGGCGUGCGGCGGGGAGAGGAUCAUCGUGUUCACGACCAACCACGUGGAGAAGCUCGACCCGGCGCUGAUACGGCGGGGGAGGAUGGACAAGCACAUCGAGAUGCCGUACUGCUGCUUCGAGGCGUUCAAGGUGCUGGCGAAGAACUACGCCGACGUGGAGGAGCACGAUAUUUUUGGGCAGAUUAAAGAAUUGCUGGAGGAGGUGAAGAUCACGCCGGCGGACGUCGCGGAGAGCCUGAUGCAGAAGUCUGAGGACAAGGGCGUGGUUGAGCGGCUGGAGAACCUAGUGCGGGUGUUGAAGUCAGCGAAGGAGGAAACGGAGAAGGGAGUGGCAAAUGGUAGCUGUAGUGGGGAGGAAGAGGGGGAGAUAGUGGAGGAUAAUUGACUGGUACCUGGGAUUUUGCAAUUUUGUGUUCUAGACUUAGAUGAUUUCAGUGACCGUAUGAAAUAUUAAAUAACUUUAAAAAAAACAAAAAACAAAAAUUUAGCGAAACAGUUGGGAUUCAUUUGUGGGAGAAUAGUCAUGGACAGUCCUGGUAAUAUUAUUAAUAAAAUUAUCUCCAGUCUAAUCAUAUUUCUCCUUGGUGUUUGAGUUUGGACUGAAUUUUGAUUGUGGAUUUUGAUAUGAGAUUAAUGUGAAACUAAAUUUCAAACUAAAUGAUAAUAAGUUACGUCUCGCGUCCAGAAUUGCUGCGGACGCUUUCGAACGCGUUAAUAGAUCCGCUGAAAUGAACGAAGAUCACGCCAUACAACAAAAACCUAUUAACCUUUCUAUAAGUCCACAACCAAAAAAAAGCAUUUCUUAAUAGUCGACAACUAAAUAAACAUCAGAGUACAUAAAAUAUAUAUGGCAAUAAGUAUAUCCUUCAUAUCACUAUAUCAAUAUCAAUUGCACAUAUAUAUUAUCUCCCGCAGCGAACAUACGAAUACAAGUACAUGCCUCACAUUCCUCACUAGCGUAUAAAAUACCAUGAUGCUAUACAUAAAACUAUCUACAGGAGUCCGUACUUCUAGCAGUGGCAAUUAAGGUAGAAGAUAUUUAUCUAACUUGCUAUCUCUUUAACUAGAUUUGCCGUUAAUGUUGCAGGCUCGGAAAAAGAAUUAAUAAAGGAGGACGUAUGAACUAUAAUUAGGAUAGCUCUUAAUGGGUAUAGUCGACGACACGAUCAACAUCACUAGAUCUAUUAGAGAAAAAAAUAGUAAAUAGUAAGCGAGUAACAAAGAAUAAUAUGAACUGAAAAUAAAAAUAAUUAUUAUGCCUCUCUCUAUAUCUGUAGAAAUAAACAAACAGUGAUUAUACCUACUAUAAUAUCUCGAAAAGUAAUAAACAACCUCACAUGUAUCAACUAAAGUAUCUAAUAAGUCAUAAGACCCGAUCGCACUUGUCGGCUCAUAGGUCCGGCCAAGUUUGCGCCGCCGCGUGCCUGGUAACCAAUCUUGACUUGGUGGGCCGGCUCGCAUGUGUAUGCCUAGCACAUCUAGUCAGCCACGACAGCUCCAAAGGGGUAUUCGUGGAAUGCGAUCCUUAUUGAGUAUCAUAAUAUAUCCUGACACCUUCUUCUGAUUGGCAGUGGAGAGUCGAGGUAGUGAAUUGAAAAGGUUACUAGGGUUUCGUUGAUAUCAGGAGCUUUGCUUCAUGCCAUGUAAAAUUUGAGAAUAGGAUAUAUUCUUUAGUGGUCAAAGUACAGGAUAUAUAUAGCCAUAUUUGCUAAUAUGUACAAGAAGCAAAAUUAGUAAAAUUCCCUAUAAUCUCUCAACAUAAUAUAUCACACAAGCACCCAACUAAUUCCAUAUUUAUAGUUUGGUCCCAAUCUUUGCAACUCAUCUAAUUCCAUAUCUAACAGUGAUUGUAGCACCGACCGUCCCUAGAGCAAGUGGCAAAGGGCUUGGUGGUUGGUACCCGAGACCCAAGAUCGAAUCCUAGUUGAUUCACAUUUCUAGCUAAGUUUAUUUCUAAAUGAAAUAAACGAAACGGGUAGCGUGCUACCUAUCUCUCUAAAAAAAAACAGUGAUUGUAGCCUAAGAUUUUUCAUUCGGACCCAUUGUAAGGUCCACAAAAUGGUAAUCUUAAAGUAGUUUUUACCUUUGUUAGUUAAUUCGUGAAUUAUUCGCGAUUUAUUAAAAAUCAGAAUUAAACGGUUCGUUUACGAUACGGAUUUUUUUUUUAUAAAGAAAGAAAAAAUUAAUUCCGAAAUUUAUGGUCAGCGCGAAUAAUCAGGAAUUAUCACGAAUUAUUAAAAAUAUAAUAAAAAAAUUUAUAAUUUUUAUUUUCUAAAUAUAAAAUUAUUUAUAUUUUAUAUCUUAUACUUUUAUAUUUUAUAAUAAAUACUGUUUUUAAGGUCGAAUUUCUCAACGAAUUUAAAAUAGAAAAACCGAAUUUUAUCCGCGCAUAUAUCCAUACUCGAAUUUUCCAGAAUCCAAAUAAACUAAUCUAAUGGUUUCUACUAUCCAUAAAGGAUUGAAUAAAUGCUAUUCGACCUAUGGUCCAUCUUGCAGGUACGAUUUCUUUGAAUAAUAUAAAAGAAAUAUGUAGCAAUAAUAUUUUCACCGCAAAGAACUGUUAUUAAUUUUGAUUUUUGGUAACAAUUUUUUUGAUUUAUAUUAUUAGUAGAAUUGUAACAUUUUUCCAAGUUUUGAUGACAAUUAAUAAUUCGAACUUAAAAACCUUCUCUUCUUCUAACUCAUCUAAGUAUUCUUUUUCUGCUAAACUUAACAGUAAAAUAAUAAUUAUUUUUAAUAUUUAGCUUUUCAAUAUCUUGCUUGGAUAUUGGAGUGAAAAUGAAUUAUAACGGCAAACUAGAAUGAUGAUUUUUCACGAUUACAGAACAGCAAUCACAUUCCGAACACAAGCGGCAUACAAAGCAUCUAAUUAACCUCUCAAUCGAGCUACGUUCUUAUAAUCCAAACUGAAAUGAUAAUAAUUCAUCUUUAAUUACUUUUAUAUUUUAAAAUAAGAACCACAAAAUGUCAUUCUUACUAUCUUAUUAUGUAUUAUUAUAUUAAUUAUAAUAUACUUUAUUAAUUCUGAUUUCAAUUCCUAUUCAGCGUGAUGAAAAGACCGCAAAAAGUGACAAUUGAAAUCAAAAAACUCCACCACCGUCCCUAGUGCAAGUGGCAAAGAGUUUGAUGGUUGGUAUCCGAGGUUCUAAUUCGAAUCUCUUAUUCUUCACUUUUCAGUCUAAGUUAUAUUCUAAAUGAAAUAAAAAAACGGACGGAUAGCAUCUAUUACUCUCUUAAAAAAAAAAAAAAAAAAAAAACCGGUCAAAGAGUGAAAAAUCAAAACAAACCCGGCCUUUUCUUUCAAACCUGCUCCUGACAUGGAUGUUAAUCUCGCUCCAGAUCAAUGUCAAGCUGUGGUCCCACUCUCCCAACCUUUAAUGCGUUGAUGCAUUUCUUUUUCCACAUCACUUGACAUGUAUUAGGUAGCUAGGGAACAAAAAUGGACCCUUCAACUUUAUUUAUUAAUUUUAAUAUAUCUUUAAUUAUACUUUCUUUGCCGAGUUAUUUUGAUUAGUUAAGCUAAAAAUUUUGUCAAAUAUUAACGUUCAUUCAGCCAUUACUUAUUAAAAUAUUUUUGUGUAAUCACUAAAUGAGAAAUAAAUUUAUUAAAUUAUUAGUAUAGUAAUCAAUAAUUAACUGUAAUAGCGCUCUCAAAUUUUUUAGAUUAAAAGCAUACAUUCUUAGCACGCUUGUAAACUAGGGUUGAUAAAAUUUUAAAAUAGUUUUAGUACAAAUAAAAAAAAAGUAAUAGAGAAAAGGAUGUAAAGUUUAUAUCAUAAUCUAGAGGUACUGUAAGAUAAUUGCUCAUUUUUUACUGAAAUAUUUUAAGAUGUGAAUUAAAUGGUAUCCGCCUGUCACAUUAGAAACUUUCAUGAUUUUUUUUUCUUUACAAUUGAGCAGGAGUAAGCAUUAAUCAGUUCAGUUUGAUUUUUAUAUUUUUUUAAAAUCCAAAUCUCAUCAAGUAAGAACUGAACCGACUGAAUUGUAGAUCUUUGGCGGCUCGUUUAUUGAUUUUAGUAAAAAUUUUUAUUUGAUUUUAAUAUUAUAAACUACUAAAAAUAAUAUAUAUAUCAUGAUUAAUUUAUAUUAAACCUAUUACUAAAUAAUAAUAAUAAAAUAACAUACUAAUUACUUACAUUAAUUAUUAAAACUAAUAUACUAUUUUUAUAAAUUAAGCUAAUAGUAUAUAAAUUUACAAAAGUUAAUUUAUUUUAUUGGUUUUUUCAAGCUGGGAAUUCAGUUCGCAAGGACUAAUGCUCACCUCUUUAGUUGAGGUUCUAUUUUCAUCUAUAUAAAUGCACAAGCGCGGAAUUAGGACGGCAAUUGAGACUUAGAGAGAGAGAGAGAGAAGGAUGGAGAAAUGGGCUUGGUUGGGUUCCGGCGUGGCGACUGCAUGCUUCUGGUGGGAAAUGCUCAAGAUGUACUUCCCUCAUCAGCUCCGGUUCUAUGUGGGCUGGGCAGCCGCAACUUCUGUCAUUCUUGAUCCGUAUCUUUACUUCACCAUCCCGGAGUUUGCGGGGAGCGCAAUGAAGCGUACGAGGCCUACGGUGCGUCAAGGCCUACCUCUCCGCCUCAUGCUCGCAGCGUCGCCCAGUUUCAGGGUUGAGAUCGCAGGACAGCGACCGCCCCCUCCUCAGCAUGGGCGCGCCACGAGGAGCUCACCGACGACUUUCAAGGCGCCAGGCGUCUGGUGGUCCUCCCGCUCCACCCGUCGAACGCAGCCCCUCAUCCUGGUAAUCAGUUACAUAUAAAAAAAACAACUUUCUCUCUAACAGCUAGCUUUAGAUUUUUUUUUUUUUUUUUUUUUUGCAUGGUAUUAAAUCUUUAUUGUAAUUCUUUCUAUUAUUUCGAAUCUACUUACAACUUUUGAUAUUGAGAUUGUAGGAUUUGCAUCAAGUAUAAAGUAGAUUUUCCAGCUUAGGAAACUACUUCUGUGUUUGUAUGAAAUAAAUUAAUCUAAUAGAAAAUGAUUCAGAUAUAACCUUAACUGUUUCAGGUAUCAGACCCCACAAGUGAACGGCGGCGUACUACACCUGAGCUUCCAUAACGGCCACCGCGAGCUGGUGAUCAACUCCUACCUCUCGCACGUCCUCCGGAGGGCGCGCCCGUGACGGUGACGAACCGCCAGCGGAAGUCUUCACAAACAUCAAAAGCAGCCACUGAACCAGUCCCUUCGAGCACCCGUCGACCUUCGACACCCCGCGCAUGCCCUGGCUAAGAAGGCGCGAGAUCAUCGGCGACCUCAUCGCCUUCCGCAACGGAAAGGACUACUACGCCAAGAUCGG